GGAGAAGAAGGGUUAGGUCCAAGCUGCCACGAUGGUAAGGGGGAGAAGAACCAGUUGUUUGUGGUGCCCCUCCGAGACGGACGCCUCGUGAACACUCCGCUGCUCAAGAAAACGUAAGACCCUCUCCGGCCUCCACCCCCCGCGGCUCCCCCCACCAUCUUGUCGUUCCUCGUGCCGCCCCCCAGACGUCUCCAUGGCAACCGCGGUGAUUCGGCGAGGAGGGGAGAGAGGCGGGUCGGAGGGAGAGAGGAGAGGGAAGAGAGGGGGCAACGAAGAGAGCAAAGGAGCGAAAUUACAGAAGAAAAUUGAAACGCCACCACAUCUACAGCAACCACCACCCAACCAGGAAUUAUCAGCCUUCUACACGACGCCCUCCUCCUCCUCCUCCUCCUCCUGCGUCUCCAUCCCCGCCGCCACGACCUUCCUUAAGCCUCCUGACGGCCUGACAGAAAUGAGGGCAAGAUGAACUACUUAGAAAAACAGCACAAUAUUGCACACACACACACACACACACACACACACACACACACACACACACACACACACACACACACACACACACACCUCGUACAAGAUGGACGAUUGUGAUGGAAGAAGAGAUGAAGACAGGAAUAAUGAAAGGAAAGAAAAAAUGAUGUGAAACGUGAGUAUUUUUUCCAUUUCUUUUAUCAUUCCGUACAUUGUUUCACACUCAUUCCUGAUUGAUGUAUAGUGGUUUUCUUUUUAUUUAAUGGGAAGCAAAAAUCUCCAACGAAAUAGAUGUGAGAAAGAAAAUAAUUUGAUGAUAUAAAAAAGUAUAUUUGUGAUUCCUUUGUGCAAAAGAAGUAAGACGAUUGACUCAUGUUUAGUACUUUUUUUUUAUUGACUGGCAUACAAAUAACAUACCCACCGAAAGAAGAGUAAGAAAUUUGAUGAUAUAAAAGGAACUAUAUUUGUGAUGCCUUUGUGUAAUAGAAGAAGAAAUAUGAAAAAAAAAUAAAUGCUAUAGAGAGUACGUUUACGAUUCCUGUGUGUUUGAAAAAAAAAAAAAACUUGAAACGAAAAUGUUUCUGAUCACUUUGUGGAAGAGCAUAAGCGAGAGAAUAUUAAAGGAAACUUGAGUGUUACAAUGAAAGUAAGUUCGUACUGAUGCAAGAGUACAUUUGUGAUCCUUUGAAGUAAGAAAAUAAGAAAAUAAUUAAAGAAAACCUGAUAAUUCUACCAGACUAUACAUUUGUGUGAAAAUUGCUACCAACUGUGGAAUAAACCAUACUGAGUGACGUGUAGUUUGGUAUAAUAUGAGUCUCCGUGCAUCUGUGACCAGUAAGGAAAGGGUUCGCUGCAGUGGCGGCCUUUACUUGACACCCUCCUGUUCUCAGUGCUUUGUGAUGUCGAGUGGAAAGCAAUACGUACAAAAAACAAUGUUACUUGAUUCAACCUUAGUUCUUAAUUCGUCAGAUAAUCGAACAGAAAGUAAUACAUACAUACAAAAGAUAAAGAAUGGCAAGUCACACAUAGAAGUAGACAAUGUUACUGGUAAAAAAAAAAAAAAAAAAAUAGAACGAAAUUUCUCUUCAGUAUGCGUUGAUGAUAUCUAUUAGAAUGCAACAGUAAUACAAAUAAGAUAAAACUGCCAUAGAGAAAGUGAGGAUCCGACAUGAGAAAGGAACUGAAAUUUAUCCUCAUUAAUUGUUCACUCUCUAAAUGACUAUCCAAAUGAAAGGAAAUAAAUCAAGAAAAAAAAAAAAACACUACCUC